UACGUAGGCAGCAAGCGUUGUUCGGAAUUACUGGGCGUAAAGAGUGUGUAGGCGGUGCUCUAAGUUCGGUGUGAAAUCUCCUGGCUUAACUGGGAGGGUGCGCCGGAAACUGGAAUGCUCGAGCGUGGGAGAGGAAAGCGGAAUUCCUGGUGUAGCGGUGGAAUGCGUAGAUAUCAGGAGGAACACCUGUGGUGUAGACAGCUUUCUGGACCAUUGCUGACGCUGAGACACGAAAGCGUGGGUAGCAAACAGG
rnacentral:rRNA from 1 species